UUCAAACGAGAGUUUGAUCCUGGCUCAGAACGAACGCUGGCGGCGUGCUUAACACAUGCAAGUCGAGUGCGCGUACCGUAGCAAUACGGUAUGGCGCACGGCGCACGGGUGCGUAACACGUGGGCAAUCUGCCCUUCGAUGGGGAAUAACUCCGGGAAACCGAAGCUAAU
rnacentral:rRNA from 1 species